AUUGAACGCUGGCGGCAGGCCUAACACAUGCAAUUCGAACGAGUGGCGGACGGGUGAGUAAUGUCUGGGAAACUGCCUGAUGGAGGGGGAUAACUACUGGAAACGGUAGCUAAUACCGCAUACCAUCAGAUGUGCCCAGAUGGGAUUAGCUAGUUGCUGGGGUAACGGCUCACCAAGGCGACGAUCCCUAGCUGGUCUGAGAGGAUGACCAGCCAAACUGGAACUGAGACAAGGUCCAGACUCCUACGGGAGGCAGCAGAGGGGAAGAUUGAACAAUGGGCGCAAACAUGAUGCAGCAGUGCCGCGUGUGUGAAGAAGGCGUUCGGGUUGUAAAGUACUUUCAGCGGGGAGGCGUUACCCGCAGAAGAAGCACCGGCUAACUCCGUGCCAGCAGCCGCGGUGAUUC
rnacentral:rRNA from 1 species